UACGAAGGGUGCAAGCGUUACUCGGAAUUACUGGGCGUAAAGCGUGCGUAGGUGGUUUGUUAAGUCUGAUGUGAAAGCCCAGGGCUCAACCUUGGAAUUGCAUUUGAGACUGCAUAGCUAGGGUGCGGAAGAGGGAAGCGGAAUUUCCGGUGUAGCGGUGAAAUGCGUAGAUAUCGGAAGGAACACCAGUGGCGAAAGCGGCUUCCUGGUCCAGCACCGACGUUCAGGCACGAAAGCGUGGGAGCAAACAGGG
rnacentral:rRNA from 1 species